rnacentral:rRNA from 1 species
UUAAAAAGCUCGUAGUUGGAUUUCUGUUGAGGACGGUCGGUCCAUCUUAUGGAUGUGCAUCUGAUACGGCCUCGGCAUCCUCUUGGGGAACGUCGUUGUGCUUUAUUGCGUGACACGGUAUUCAGGACUUUUACUUUGAGGAAAUUAGAGUGUUCACGGCAGGCAAUCGCCAUGAAUAUAUUAGCAUGGAAUAAUAACAUAGGACCUUGGUUCUAUUUUGUUGGUUUCUAGAGCUAAGGUAAUGAUUAAUAGGGAUAAUUGGGGCCAUUUGUAUUAUCGCGUCAGAGGUGGAAUUCUUGGAUUGCGAUACGACAAACUACUGCGAAAGCAUUUGGCAAGGAUGUUUUCAUUGAUCAAGAACGAAAGUAAGGGGAUCGAAGACGCUUAGAUACCGUCGUAGUCUUUACCAUAAACUAUGCCGACUAGAGAUUGGAGGUCGUUCUUUUUUUCGACACCUUCAGCACCUUAUGAUAAAUCAAAGUCUUUGGGUUCCGGGGGGAGUAUGGUCNCAAGGCUGAAACUUAAAAGGAAUUGACGGAAGGGCACCCACCA